GGCGGCCUUAGCGCGGUGGUCCCACCUGACCCCAUGCCGAACUCAGAAGUGAAACGCCGUAGCGCCGAUGGUAGUGUGGGGUCUCCCCAUGCGAGAGUAGGGAACUGCC
rnacentral:rRNA from 1 species